GCCUCGAUGGUGUAACGGUCGAAACAUUUGCCUGGUAAACAAGAGGGCGUGGGUUCAAUCCUAGCCGAGGUA
rnacentral:tRNA from 1 species